UGUCAGGUGGCUGAGUAACAAGCGAUAGAUUGUAAAUCUAUUUAUGGAGUUGAUUCUCCCCGACAA
rnacentral:tRNA from 1 species